UCUUGGUCAUUUAGAGGAAGUAAAAGUCGUAACAAGGUUCCUACAUGGCGGGCUCGAAUCAUUUGAUUUUGUCGUCUCAGCGGAAGCCUUGUCAAGUAAAGUCUGCCCCUUUGGCGGGCGACACUCGCCUGUAGCUGGAAGGUUUUCCCCUGCCUUGGGGGCUUUGGGAUCAACAAUCAGCUGCUGCAUGCUAAACCAUGUAGUUCACAGAUCAAACGCGAGUGGCCUAAAUUCUUCUCCUGGUUGGGUUGAGAGAUGAAAAAGGUUGAGAUAUGACCGUAGCAGCUCUGCGAGGAGUCUGAUAUUCUAGUUCCGUAGGUGAACCUGCGGAAGGAUCAUUA
rnacentral:rRNA from 1 species